UAAAACCUAACCCUAAACCCUAAUCCCUAUUCCCCUCAAAGCAGUUGCACACCACCUCACAGUUUUUCUCUCCUCUCUCUUUCUCUCUUUAAAACUCGAUGAUGUCACCGUUGGUGGACGGCUGUUGUCGCUGCUCCAUCGCUCUUCUCCCUCAUGCAAUCGGCGGUCAUGGCCGUGACCAAUUCUUUUUUCUUUCUCUCCUUCGUAAACUAGCAGUUAUUCCCCUCUCCCCAGCAUUAUCGAUCUGCCGCUGCUAGGCCGAUCACCGGCCGACCUACAUUUCGUCUCUCCCUUUCCUGCGGUAAAAACCUCACUCCAAUCGGCAAAAAUAGUUGAACUAGCAUCGCGAAUUAGCUCACCCUGCUGCCGCUGCUCCUUCGUGUUUCACCAGGACACCAUCAGUGAGUCGACGGUGAUUAACCAUAUCCCUCACACCGCCAUUAUCUCUCCGCGACCCUUGAUCCCGAGUAAAAUUCACUGGAAAAUCAUUUAAAGUGCAUGGCAAAUUCACAGAUGUGAAUCCGUCUCAGUUAUUAUUGAAAGAUAUUUUGGGACAUAAAGAUUUGCCCGGGAGUUUGGGGAAGGGUGACCUAUUUCUUUUUUUUUUUUUCCUAUUAUUCAUUGAUUUGUAAUUAUUUUUGUAUAAACCGCUACUGUGUAAUAAUAAAUUCAUGGGGGGAGGGGGGAUUAUGUGAUUAUGUUGAAUCACCUGGGUAAAAGAAUAAUUUAGGAUCAAUAAUAACUUAUGUUAUCACUGCUAAAUCAUGUUUUAGGAAUUACUAAUUAACUUUUGGCCUAAUUUAAUCUCAACCAUGUUUUAGGAAUUA